UGUCCAGCUACUCCUAUCCCUACCUCCUCGUGAUACUGGCCGGGGUACGAGCAACCUUUGGGAAAAUCGGGUAAACAACCCCGGUAUGAACUUUGGUCGUAUGCUGAUAGGGAAGG
rnacentral:ribozyme from 1 species